rnacentral:rRNA from 1 species
AUUGAACGCUGGCGGCAUGCCUUACACAUGCAAGUCGAACGGCAGCACGGGAGCAAUCCUGGUGGCGAGUGGCGAACGGGUGAGUAAAGUAUCGGAACGUGCCCAGUCGUGGGGGAUAACGUAGCGAAAGUUACGCUAAUACCGCAUACGACCUAUGGAUGAAAGCGGGGGAUCGCAAGACCUCGCGCGAUUGGAGCGGCCGAUAUCAGAUUAGGUAGGUGGUGGGGUAAAGGCUCACCAAGCCGACGAUCUGUAGCUGGUCUGGGAGGACGACCGGCCACACUGGGACUGAGACACGGCCCAGACUCCUACGGGAGGCAGCAGUGGGGAAUUUUGGACAAUGGGCGAAAGCCUGAUCCAGCCAUGCCGCGUGCAGGAUGAAGGCCUUCGGGUUGUAAACUGCUUUUGUACGGAACGAAAAGGUUUGGCCUAAUAAGCUGAGCUCAUGACGGUACCGUAAGAAUAAGCACCGGCUAACUACGUGCCAGCAGCCGCCGUAA